UACGGAGGAUGCAAGCGUUAUCCGGAUUCAUUGGGUUUAAAGGGUGCGUAGGCGGAUUAAUAAGUCAGUGGUGAAAUCUUGCGGCUCAACCGUAACAUUGCCAUCGAUACUGUUAGUCUUGAAUGCAGUUGAGGUAGGCGGAAUGUGUAAUGUAGCGGUGAAAUGCUUAGAUAUUACACAGAACACCGAUUGCGAAGGCAGCUUGCUAAACUGUGAUUGACGCUGAUGCACGAAAGCGUGGGGAUCAAACAGGAUUAGAUACCCUGGUAGUCCACGCUGUAAACGAUGAUUACUCGCUGUUGGCGAUACACAGUCAGCGGCUAAGCAAAAGCAUUAAGUGAUCCACCUGGGGAGUACGGCCGCAAGGCUGAA
rnacentral:rRNA from 1 species